AGGACAAAAUGUUUCCCCUCUGCAGAGGACUCCUUGUUCCUGAAUCUCUGCCUCACAGCCCAAGCCACGAGCUCCAUACAGAUGGAUUGGAACUCCUUCUGGGUACAGCAGGAGCAUCUAAUCCCAGUUUGCUCGCCUUUUGGACUGACUGUCUGCUCUUCCAGUGGCCCAAAGCAAGUUCUGUGAUGUCAUGCUUAGAGAGACCAUGGGACAGAUCUAAAAAUAAACUAGUGGAACUUCACUGCACCUCCCCAAGAGAGGAGUCCGAGGAAACAGCUCAGGCUUUGGAUCCAGAGUGGCUACCCGCUCUUUCUUCCCUUUAGUCCUACAGGGACAACGGGAGGAAAUAAUUUGUUCUCCAGUCUGCAGAGCUUCCCCUUGAAGACCCCCAACUAAUGGUGACCUCAGUUCAAGAACAAAUGCAACGUUUUGGAAAAAUUCAGCACCCACAAGACGAAGCAGCUCAUUGUGUUGUAUACCCACCUGGUCCAGUACAAUAAGCAAUACCAGCUGCUCCUUAAACAUGGACCAGCAAAGCCUUCGGCUCCUUCUGGACCUGGUAUAAUGAGCCAUCCACCACUUCCUCCAGAUGGCUGGUCCUGGCUGCAGUGUUUCUUGGUACUCUAACAAAUUUCCUUCUUUCCCCUCUCUACCGUCCUUCCUCAACUUCCUAUGAGUUAAGUAGGAAACAUAACUCGAUUCUGAAUUUCUUAAAACCAUCAUCACCCCUACCCCCACCACUGGACAACCUAUGCUGGCCAGCUUGCUGCUUUCAGAAGCCCCUGAGUUUAUGAACCCAAAACAUGUGUUAAAUGAACAUGUCGGGCUUCAUCUUGGAUCUACUAAAAGAUCUCUUUAGUUCUUGAACACAAACCAUUUCCCUUAGCUACCACAAUGCAAAAUGCCAUUCCAACAGCAAAUUGGAUUCCCUCUCGACCCUGCUAUUCUAUGGAAUUUCAAUAAAUCACCAAUUGAAGGGCUCUAUAGCCAAUC